rnacentral:rRNA from 3 species
CGGACGGGACCGCAGAGUCUGCCCCCGGUAUUCAGCUCGUCCUCUUCGUCGGCCGCGUCCGUCGCCAAACGACACCCUCUGAGCGGGUGCCAUGGCGGGCGUGAGCGCGGCGGGGGACGCGUGCACUUUCCGGGGUGCGGUGCGUCACGACCGGUUCGGCGGAGGUCAGAAGGCCGGCGGGAUGGUGGCCAGUCGUUCGCGUCUGGUGGUAUAGCCCGCCUGCGUCGCAGGCCCUCUGCUGGACCGAGGAGGAUCCGCGUCUGCCUUAGGGCGCGGGGCCCGGGGCCUCCCGUGCUGCCUCCGUGCCGGGACUGCUCUCGCAGUGCCGUGCGCGGCUCGGCGGUCGGGACGGACUCCGCUCCCCCCGUAACGGCGUCUAGGGUCGGUGGCGAUAUUGUCGGCAACCCGUCCGACCCGUCU